rnacentral:rRNA from 1 species
GUGUCAGCCGCCGCGGUAAGACGAACCGUGCGAACGUUAUUCGGAAUCACUGGGCUUAAAGGGCGCGUAGGCGGGAUGGCGCGUCGGACGCUGAAAUCCCCCGGCUCAACCGGGGAACAGGCACCGAAACGGCCAUCCUUGAGGCGAGGAGAGGGAUCUGGAACGUCCGGUGGAGCGGUGAAAUGCGUUGAGAUCGGACGGAACGCCGACGGCGAAAGCAGGAUCCUGGACUCGAACUGACGCUGAGGCGCGAAAGCCAGGGUAGCGAACGGGAUUAGAAACCCCUGUAGUCC